GUCUAUGGCCAUGCUACACUGAACAAGCCCAAUCUCAGAAGCUAAGCAGGGUCAGGUGUGGUUAGUACUUGGAUGGGAGACCACCUAGGAAAACCAGGUGCUGUAGGCA
rnacentral:rRNA from 1 species